UACGUAGGGUGCAAACGUUGCUCGGAAUCAUUGGGCGUAAAGCGCACGUAGGUGGCCUGUUAAGUCGGGUGUGAAAGCCCUCGGCUCAACCGAGGAAGUGCAUUCGAAACUAGCAGGCUUGAGUAUGGAAGAGGGUCGUGGAAUUCCCGGUGUAGUGGUGAAAUGCGUAGAUAUCGGGAGGAACACCAGUGGCGAAGGCGACUUCCUGGCCUGUUCUUGACGCUGAGGCGCGAAAGCUAGGGGAGCAAACGGG
rnacentral:rRNA from 1 species